CGGGUGAGUAACACGUAUCCAACCUGCCGUCUACUCUUGGACAGCCUUCUGAAAGGAAGAUUAAUACAAGAUGGCAUCAUGAGUCCACAUGUUCACAUGAUUAAAGGUAUUCCGGUAGACGAUGGGGAUGCGUUCCAUUAGAUAGUAGGCGGGGUAACGGCCCACCUAGUCUUCGAUGGAUAGGGGUUCUGAGAGGAAGGUCCCCCACAUUGGAACUGAGACACGGUCCAG
rnacentral:rRNA from 1 species